CCUACGGGGGGCAGCAGUGAGGAAUAUUUGUCAAUGGCCGGAAGGCUGAACCAGCCAAGCCGCGUGAAGGACGAAGGUGCCAAGCAUUGUAAACUUCUUUUGUCAAGGGACAAAAUCAGUCUCGAGAGCCUGACCGUGGUUACUUGAAGAAAAAGCAUCGGCUAACUCCGUGCCAGCAGCCGCGGUAAUACGGAGGAUGCGAGCGUUAUCCGGAUUUAUUGGGUUUAAAGGGUGCGUAGGCGGACUGUUAAGUCAGCGGUAAAAGCCCGGGGCUCAACCCCGGCGAGCCGUUGAAACUGGUUGUCUUGAGAUGUCGAGAGGUAUGCGGAAUGCGAAGUGUAGCAGUGAAAUGCUUAGAUAUUGCGCAGAACUCCGAUUGCGAAGGCAGCAUACCGGCGGCGAUCUGACGCUGAGGCACGAAAGCGUGGGUAUCGAACAGGAUUAGAUACCCGGGUAGUC
rnacentral:rRNA from 1 species